AGCCUUUCACCCUAGAGCGGUGUCCAGGGACCAGAGACCGGGACCCGAAAAAUCGGCAGAGAGGUACCGAAGCAUUAGGGAAAAGAUUACCAGAGAGCGGGGAGGGUUUCCUGGCGAAACGCGGAGGCUGAGCAGAUGGAGGAACAAUGCCUCCUCCGCGAGAAAACCCUCGCUUGAGGCCGGGGCGGAGCGCGGAGGAGCUGCCUCCAGCCUCGGGCUCUCCCUCCCGGGCCCUCCGGCUCGUUCUGGGGCCGGUGCAGCCUCGUAGUUUGACAGGGCUAGGAAAGUUGCUCUUCCCCACAUUUCCUGCGAAGUGGUUUUCAGUUCUGCGUGGUUCCAGUCAAGAUGUCACUCCGUAGAUCCCCUGCGAUGAGCAGCUAAUAGAUUAUGCAUUAUGGGGCAGUCGAGUCCCCGGGCAGAACAGAGAGGGAGUCCAAACAUUUCCAACCUUCUCCUUCGGCUCCUGACCGGCCAGCCCAAUGCUUUGUUGUCUGGUCAGCAUGUGAAACAUAUACCCUCUGAGCACCUGUACUCUACGGCACUCUUCUCGGAGCUUGGAAUACACCAGUAUAUUUUAACCCCGCAUCCCCACACUGUGAAGCCUAAUGUCUUUUUUAACUACUUAAUGAUCUCCUGGCCCUGGGCUAAUUAAGCACCAUUUGAAGAAUCAUAUUGUUGUGCACGUGAUGUGGUGUUUUAGUAAACUGGCUCCCUGAGGGGGAAAAACCUUUAAAAAUGAAAAGCCAUAAUGUACUAUUGGAUUAUUUUCUUGGUGUAAAUAUUAUACAAUGGCCAGUUUCUAGCUACAGCAUCAUACCACGUACUUGAGUUGGGCAUGUGCAGAAUGGCCUCCUCGGAGCCAGUACAGCCAGCCUUCAGCAUGGUCCUGGCAUGUCUUGUUUUGUGUUCUGAGUUUAUUGAUAUACUUCUAACUUGACUUCAUUCAUCUGUACAGUGGAGAAACUAUUUUGCAAUUAUUAUAGAGAUGGAGUUUACUGCUGAAUAGUUUUGGUGGAAUCAAAAGCAGGAGGAUGCAAGCUAUCAAAAAGAUCACCUUAAUCAUAGAUCUUUAUAUGUGAAAAUAAUUUUAAAUUUAGAUGUGAAAAACAACAGACAAUUAAAAAAUAAACUCACAGAUGGUAUACA
rnacentral:lncRNA from 1 species